GUCUUUUUGAGUUAUUUUAAAAGUCUGACCUGCCCACUGAAUAUUUUUAAAUGGCCGCAGUAUUCUAACUGUGCAAAGGUAGCAUAAUCAUUAGUCUUUUAAUUGAAGGCUGGUAUGAACGGUUGGACGAAGUAUAAGCUGUUUCAUACAAAAUUAUAUUAGAAUUUUAUAUUUUAGUUAAAAAGCUAAAAUAUUAUUAAAAGACGAGAAGACCCUAUAAAUCUUUAUAAUUAAUAUUAUUCAAAUUUUUUUGAUUAAUUUUAUUUUUAUUAUAUUAAAUAUUUUGUUGGGGUGAUAUUAAAAUUUAAUAAACUUUUAAUUGAGAAUUAAAACAUUAAUUUAUGAAUAAUUGAUCCAUUAUUAAUGAUUAUAAGAUUAAGUUACUUUAGGGAUAACAGCGUAAUUUUUUUUGAGAGUUCAUAUCGACAAAAAAGUUUGCGACCUCGAUGUUGGAUUAAGAUAUAUAUUUAGGUGUAGCUGUUUAAAUAUUAAGUCUGUUCGACUUUUAAAUUCUUACAU
rnacentral:rRNA from 1 species